rnacentral:ncRNA from 2 species
AUCUUAUCGAGAGUGGUGGAGGGAACUGACCCGACGAAGCCCGGCAACCAACCUUGUGUGAGGUUAAGGUGCUACAUUCAGCAGACUUUGUUCUGGGAGAUAAGUG